rnacentral:misc_RNA from 1 species
UUUUUCUUACCACUGGAUACAGUAUUUUUUGUUGAUGAUGAUCUAGCUGCUAAUAUAUUCAUUUCAGCUUCUGUUUCAGAUUUAUGAUUUUUUUGGCUUUUAUUUCUUAGGUUCUAGUGGAAUGAAAAAAUUUGAAAUAAAAUUUCAGCUCAAAAAUUAAUGAUUAAAAAUAAAUUUAUAUCAAUUAAUAUAUAUACCUUGUAAAAAAAAUAUUAGAAAUUAAUCAACAAUAUUUACAUUUUAAA